ensembl:ncRNA lncRNA:CR45971 long non-coding RNA:CR45971
ACUUUUCAACAACGCUCUCCCUUUUCCCUCUUUCCCAUCACCCCUUCGCAUCAUAGACCCCUGUGUCUGGGACUGCCUUUUGCAUUUUCGGUAGGUAUGAAGGUAGGAAAUUUAAUCUCAAAGUCGUCAUCGUCAACGCCGUCGCACUGCCUGUACUUGGCCUUCUUGUUGUUGUUUUCGACGACGUCACAGAAAAUAUUUAAUUAAUUUUUCGAAUUUUAAUUAAAAAGUUUCCGUUCCGUUACGUCAUCUGGCCCGGCCCGAGCAGAUCCAGAUUCCGGAAUCCGCAUCUUGUAGGCUGUUAGUUUUGGCUGUAGGCUGUCCUUUCUUUUACUGCACCAAGUAGCAAAUAACAAAUGUUUAAUGGCAGGUAACCCGAGACAACUCUUUCAGCCAGCGCCAUCAAUCAAUUCGCUAAGGAGGAACGGAGCUCGCAGCUCCAAGUCCCCACCAAAGUCCAUUCCAAUAAACAUAAAGCAAACACUUAAUUGUCUGUCAGCGUUAACAAACCGACAACACAAAUAUCAUAUGACCAGGGGGGCUGGGAGGCAUUGGUAUUUUGGUAUUGGUAUUGGCCGCUUGUUGUUUCCAUAAGCAGACACACACAUAUAUCACCUGCUGCGCACAAAAAUGUUUUUUCGACAAAACUUGUAAGAGAUGCCAACUGGCUGAUAGGGCCUCAAAAAGAGAGAACUCCCUAGCCGAACAGAAUACAGAAUCCAAAGAAGACAACCCAAGCCGGUCAUACCGAACCGAACUAAACUCUCUUGCAUGCAUUUUGUUAUCUGUGACAAAGAUCUCCUGGCCAUUAAAUUAACACUUAAUGACUUGUGUGUGCGUGUGUGUAGGUGCAGACGACAAUGAUGACUAAAGGAAAAGCAGCAAAAAGAAGAAAGACUCUCUGCAGCAGCCACACAUCAUUAAGAGACAGCAGGGAGGCGUUGCCUGGGCUUUCGUUACCUCAGAUAUCCAGCCACAUCUCUUUGAUACCCUGCCAAAAGGGCCUCUCCGACCAGCCUGAUGACUUUGUUAGCCGGGCUGAAAGGCUCGGCCUGCUGGCCGAGAAGAAUGAAAGAAUAGACCCACUGGCAUAAAGGACCGUCUUUCGACAAUAGAUGCCUGUGAACACACCUUGCCCGGGCGAGGAGACUUUUGUCUGGUCCGGGUUAUCAUCGUG